AAUCACUACACUCACUGCCAUC
rnacentral:miRNA from 1 species